rnacentral:rRNA from 1 species
AUUGAACGCUGGCGGCAGGCCUAACACAUGCAAGUCGAACGAGUGGCGGACGGGUGAGUAAUGUAUGGGAAACUGCCUGAUGGAGGGGGAUAACUACUGGAAACGGUAGCUAAUACCGCAUACCAUCAGAUGUACCCAUGUGGGAUUAGCUAGUAGGUGGGGUAACGUCUCACCUAGGCGACGAUCCCUAGCUGGUCUGAGAGGAUGACCAGCCACACUGGGACUGAGACACGGUCCAGACUCCUACGGGAGGCAGCAGUGGGGAAUAUUGCACAAUGGGCGCAAGCCUGAUGCAGCCAUGCCGCGUGUAUGAAGAAGGCCUUCGGGUUGUAAAGUACUUUCAGUGAGGAGGCGUUACCCACAGAAGAAGCACCGGCUAACUCCGUGCCAGCAGCCGCGGUAAUAC